ACUUUUAACAACGGGAUCUCUUGGUUCUGGCGAUCUGAUGAAGGAACGCAGCGAAAUGCGAUAAGUAAUGUGAAUUGCAUGAAUUCAGUGAAUCAUCGAAUCUUUGAACGCACAUUGCGCCCCCUGGUAUUCCGGGGGGCAUGCCUGUUCGAGCGUCAUUUCACCACUCAAGCCUCGCUUGGUAUUGGGCAACGCGGUCCGCCGCGUGCCUCAAAUCGACCGGCUGGGUCUUCUGUCCCCUAAGCGUUAGUGGAAACUAUUCGCUAAAGGGUGCUCGGGAGAGCUACGCCGUAAAACAAACCCAUUUCUAAGCGUUGACCUCGGAUCAGGUAGGGAUACCCGCUGAACUUAAGCAUAUCAAUA
rnacentral:rRNA from 1 species